rnacentral:misc_RNA from 1 species
GCAUACUUGUUUGGCUGACUCUUCUUGAAAACAUAAACAUGAUUGGUGCUCAUUUUCUCAUGAGCGAUUAGAACCUUUUCACUUCAAUUGAUAAUAAAAUACCCACCCUCAUCAUAAGGACACUCCCCAAGCUCUGUAAGAUCUCUCUCUGAAUUCUGGUACAAUGUGCGAUAACUCAAUCUAAGCAUUAUAGGAACCUUUCCAAUGAAAACUUUGGUGAAAUCAUUAGUUUCGGUG